AGGGUGUAAACGCUGCGGGCUUGGUGUUGGGGGUCCUUAGUGGGCGCCCAGUGCCGGAGAGAAGUUCGUUAAGCCUGCUGCUUGGGGAGUAUGUCCGCAAGGAUGAAACUUAAAGGAAUUGGCCGGGGGAGCACCGCAACGGGAGGAGCGUGCGGUUCAAUUGGAUUCAACGCCGAAAAACUCACCAGGAGCGACGGAUAUAUGAAGGUCAAGCUGAUGACUUUACCUGAUUUUCCGAGAGGUGGUGCAUGGCGUAGUCGUGU
rnacentral:rRNA from 1 species